rnacentral:rRNA from 1 species
AUACGUAGGGGGCGAGCGUUGUCCGGAAUGAUUGGGCGUAAAGGGCGCGUAGGCGGCCCGGUAAGUCUGGAGUGAAAGUCCUGUUUUUAAGAUGGGAAUUGCUUUGGAUACUGUCGGGCUUGAGUGCAGGAGAGGUAAGUGGAAUUCCCAGUGUAGCGGUGAAAUGCGUAGAAAUUGGGAGGAACACCAGUGGCGAAGGCGACUUACUGGACUGUAACUGACGCUGAGGCGCGAAAGUGUGGGGAGCAAACAGGAUUAGAUACCCCGGUAGUCCACACUGUAAACGAUGAAUGCUAGGUGUAGGGGGUAUCGACCCCUUCUGUGCCGCAGUCAACACAAUAAGCAUUCCGCCUGGGGAGUACGGCCGCAAGGUUGAAACUCAAAUGAAUUGGCGGG